rnacentral:rRNA from 1 species
UACGUAGGUGGCAAGCGUUGUCCGGAUUUACUGGGCGUAAAGGGCGUGCAGGCGGUUUGCUAAGUCUAGGGUGAAAGCUCCCGGCUCAACUGGGAGAGGUCCUUGGAUACUGACAGACUUGAGGGAGGCAGAGGAGAAUGGAAUUCCCGGUGUAGUGGUGAUAUGCGUAGAUAUCGGGAGGAACACCCGUGGCGAAGGCGGCCAACUGGGCCGGACCUGACGCUGAGGCGCGAAGGCGUGGGGAGCGAACGGG